GAUAUUGAAUGUUGUGCUGUACGACAGGGCAACGACGCGCCGUUUAAUUGAUAUUUAUCGUUAAAUUUGUACUUUUUCUGCGCAAGCGACAAGCCAGUGUGUACCAAUAAGCAAACAAAUCUUGUUUUUAUUAUCGGUUAAAGUGGUUGUGUUGUUAUCGUUUCUUGGUCGCACAAAAUAAUAAGGAAUAAUACAUAAAUAGACGAGGGAAUUUAGCAACCGUUAUCGACGGCUGCGCUGCCAAGCGAGCUCAUAAAGUCUUUAAGUGGCAAAUUACAAGAAAUACAAAUGAAUGUUUAAACAAAAAUACGUUUUUGUAAUAUUAGUUACAACAAAAUUGCAGCUGUGCAAAAAUACAACAAAGCGUAAUUAGAGAGUUAAAAGCAAAAAUUAAUUAAAGCAUGAAAGCGAAGGCAAACGUUUCGCUAAAAACUUAAAUAAACUAAUGAAGUAAAGCUUCAUCACUCGCCGGCGAGCUGAUUGCCAUAUUUUGCACAUUUGGAGCAUAUUCUAUGUAAAUUUUUCUGGGCCGUGCUGGCAGUAAAAAAAAAAACAAGAUAAACAAACUAACUGUAUAAAAACAAAAUAAAAGCAGCUCAUGCCCCAAUCUCAGCAACUACAGCGACUUGAGUGUGAAUAUUAUAGCUGCUUGCAAUUAACUCGGUUCUCCUAAAUCAUUUGGAUGCAAAAGGCCUGUGCCAAUGACGUGUAAUAU